rnacentral:rRNA from 1 species
GGCGGGACACGUGGUAUCCUGUCUGAAUAUGGGGGGACCAUCCUCCAAGGCUAAAUACUCCUGACUGACCGAUAGUGAACCAGUACCGUGAGGGAAAGGCGAAAAGAACCCCGGCGAGGGGAGUGAAAAAGAACCUGAAACCGUGUACGUACAAGCAGUGGGAGCACCCUUUGGGGUGUGACUGCGUACCUUUUGUAUAAUGGGUCAGCGACUUAUAUUCUGUAGCAAGGUUAACCGAAUAGGGGAGCCGGAGGGAAACCGAGUCUUAAUUGGGCGUUAAGUUGCAGGGUAUAGACCCGAAACCCGGUGAUCUAGCCAUGGGCAGGUUGAAGGUUGGGUAACACUAACUGGAGGACCGAACCGACUAAUGUUGAAAAAUUAGCGGAUGACCUGUGGCUGGGGGUGAAAGGCCAAUCAAACCGGGAGAUAGCUGGUUCUCCCCGAAAGCUAUUUAGGUAGCGCCUCGUGAAUUCAUCUCCGGGGGUAGAGCACUGUUUCGGCUAGGGGGCCAUCCCGGCUUACCAACCCGAUGCAAACUGCGAAUACCGGAGAAUGUUAUCACGGGAGACACACGGCGGGUGCUAACGUCCGUCGUGAAGAGGGAAACAACCCAGACCGCCAGCUAAGGUCCCAAAGUCAUGGUUAAGUGGGAAACGAUGUGGGAAGGCCCAGACAGCCAGGAUGUUGGCUUAGAAGCAGCCAUCAUUUAAAGAAAGCGUAAUAGCUCACUGGUCGAGUCGGCCUGCGCGGAAGAUGUAACGGGGCUAAACCAUGCACCGAAGCUGCGGCAGCGACGCUGAUGCGUUGUUGGGUAGGGGAGCGUUCUGUAAGCCUGUGAAGGUGGCCUGUGAGGGUUGCUGGAGGUAUCAGAAGUGCGAAUGCUGACAUAAGUAACGAUAAAGCGGGUGAAAAGCCCGCUCGCCGGAAGACCAAGGGUUCCUGUCCAACGUUAAUCGGGGCAGGGUGAGUCGACCCCUAAGGCGAGGCCGAAAGGCGUAGUCGAUGGGAAACGGGUUAAUAUUCCCGUACUUGGUGUUACUGCGAAGGGGGGACGGAGAAGGCUAUGUUGGCCGGGCGACGGUUGUCCCGGUUUAAGCGUGUAGGUGUGUGUUCCAGGUAAAUCCGGUUCACUUUAACACUGAGGCGUGA